AACGAACGCUGGCGGCAGGCCUAACACAUGCAAGUCGAGCGCCCUGCUUGCAGGGAGCGGCGGACGGGUGAGUAACGCGUGGGAACGUGCCCUUUAGUUCAGAAUAGCCACUGGAAACGGUGAGUAAUACUGGAUACGCCCUUCGGGGGAAAGAUUUAUCGCUAAAGGAUCGGCCCGCGUUGGAUUAGCUAGUUGGUGGGGUAAUGGCCUACCAAGGCGACGAUCUAUAGCUGGUCUGAGAGGAUGAUCAGCCACACUGGGACUGAGACACGGCCCAGACUCCUACGGGAGGCAGCAGUGGGGAAUAUUGGACAAUGGGGGCAACCCUGAUCCAGCCAUGCCGCGUGAGUGAAGAAGGCCCUAGGGUUGUAAAGCUCUUUCAGAUGUGAGGAUGAUGACAGUAGCAUCAGAAGAAGCACCGGCUAACUUCG
rnacentral:rRNA from 1 species